AAACUCAAAGGAAUUGACGGGGGCCCGCACAAGCGGCGGAGCAUGUGGCUUAAUUCGAUGCAACGCGAAGAACCUUACCUGGGCUUGACAUGCAGGGAAAACUGUUAGAGAUAGCAGGUCCGCAAGGGCCUUGCACAGGUGGUGCAUGGCUGUCGUCAGCUCGUGUCGUGAGAUGUUGGGUUAAGUCCCGCAACGAGCGCAACCCUCGUCCUAUGUUGCCAGCGAGUAAUGUCGGGGACUCAUAGGAGACCGCCGGGGUCAACUCGGAGGAAGGUGGGGAUGACGUCAAGUCAUCAUGCCCCUUAUGUCCAGGGCUGCACACAUGCUACAAUGGCCGGUACAAAGGGCUGCGAUACCGCAAGGUGGAGCGAAUCCCAUAAAGCCGGUCUCAGUUCGGAUUGGGUCUGCAACUCGACCCCAUGAAGUCGGAGUCGCUAGUAAUCGCAGAUCAGCAACGCUGCGGUGAAUACGUUCCCGGGCCUUGUACACACCGCCCGUCACGUCACG
rnacentral:rRNA from 1 species